CGCGUAGGCGGCCUGGGCAGUCCUGGGUGAAAGCCCCCGGCUCAACCGGGGAAGGGCCUGGGAAACCACUGGGCUGGAGUGCUGGAGAGGGAGGCGGAAUUCCUGGUGUAGCGGUGAAAUGCGUAGAGAUCAGGAGGAACAUCGGCGGCGAAGGCGGCCUUCUGGACAGACACUGACGCUGAGGCGCGAAAGCCGGGGGAGCAAACA
rnacentral:rRNA from 1 species